rnacentral:rRNA from 1 species
CGGAGGAUCCGAGCGUUAUCCGGAUUUAUUGGGUUUAAAGGGUGCGCAGGCGGGAGAUUAAGUCGGCGGUGAAAUUUUGCAGCUCAACUGUAAAAGUGCCUUCGAAACUGGUUUCCUUGAGUGUAGAUGAAGUAGGCGGAAUUUGUGGUGUAGCGGUGAAAUGCAUAGAUAUCACGAGGAACUCCGAUUGCGCAGGCAGCUUACUAAACUACUACUGACGCUCAGGCACGAAGGCGUGGGGAUCAAACAGGAUUAGAUACCCCUGUA